UACGUAGGGUCCGAGCGUUGUCCGGAGUUACUGGGCGUAAAGCGCGCGCAGGCGGCGGUGUUGGCCCGGCGUGAAAGCCCCCGGCUCAACCGGGGAGAGUCGUCGGGGACCGCACCGCUUGAGGGCGGUAGGGGCUGGUGGAAUGCCUGGUGUAGUGGUGAAAUGCGUAGAGAUCAGGCAGAACACCUGGGGCGAAGGCGGCCAGCUGGGCCGGCCCUGACGCUGAGGCGCGAAGGCGUGGGGAGCGAACGGG
rnacentral:rRNA from 1 species